rnacentral:lncRNA from 1 species
CUCUCUCUCUCUCUCUCUCUCUCUCUCUCUCGGAUUGAAAUAAUGAAGCAUGUAAUAACUACUGUAGCUAGCGCGCAGCAGCAGAAGAACCUCUGAGGGAUUCAGGCAUUCAGCGCUAGCUGCUUCUGAGUUGUGGGCUUGUGGCAGAGAUGUAUAUAGUUGUGGUCUUGUCUUGGCUGGCAGUUGGCACUGACUUCCCCGUGCACUACUAUAAUAUUCAUAUGUAGAAAUAUCAGUUGAUUUAUUCAAAAACAAAAGAAAAAAUAAAAGAAAUUUCAUCUCGAUCUGUGUACGUAUGUAUAUAUAUACGACAUAUAUAUAUGAUUCUGACACGUACAGACACAGCGAAACACUCCUCUUUCUCUCUCGCUCUGUGUAAAGCCCUAGCUAGCUUAGGCUAGUGGUGAUUGUUAUGGGACUCUUCAUUAAAAUGGGGUGGGGAGAUCGAGCUAGACGUCUGAGACAGAGAGGUUGAUCAUCGAUCCCAUCUCUCAUAUCAAAUUAUCAAUAGCAGUGGCAGUGACAUGUCUAAUCCUUAUUUGUUGGUUGGUUAGUUUCGUUUCGAACUAGUCGAUCCUGGCCUCUGAUCACUCUAAUUCUUUUUGCAUGCCUUUCCUUACUCAUCCCUUCAUCUCCGAUGGACUUGUCAUUCAUGAAAUGAUCCAUCGAUCUCUUCAAGCUCUCCCAUGCCAUCACUCUUUCUUUCUUUCUUGUCAUCGAUCUCUCUGUCUCUCGAUCUGCCUUCCUUCCAUAGAAAAAUGAGUGUACGUACGGCACUGUUUUUAACUGCAGUUAACAGCCUGUGACCCCUGGACAAUAAUAUAGCUUUGCUUUUCUCAGCUGCAUGCCGACAAAUAGACAAAACCUCUUCCAUUAGUUUUGCUUUUCUCUUUGUUUGGUCCGGUCCUUUCCAUAUUUCCUUUUGUUGUAUUUUUCAAAUCUGCAGAAGAACCACCACAUAACAUAUUUGACCUAAUUAAUAGUAAGGGUUUUUUUCUAUCUUUUUUUAUAAUGCUAAAAGACUAAUUACAAAAUAGAUCUCUGGAAGCAAUCUGCUCCAAAGAGAUCAAAAUUAACAGCAAGCCCUACGGACAAGAGAAAAUCCGACUCCCAAUAGCUAGGCCUUGAAAGCUGGUGACCAAGAUUUGCUAGCGCGUUGUCAGCGACGUUAGCUUCGCGAAGAACAUGAUAAAAGACUAUACUCUGGAAAGCGGCAAUACUAUUGAUGUUUUGGACAAGUUGCAGCAGCCUCCACGGACACUUAAAGUUUCCCUUGAUACGGUUGAUAACUAAUGCGUAGUCACCUUCCACGAUCAAAUCUUGGAAUUCCAUUUCAUGAGCUUUGAGAAGACUAUCUCUUAGAGCAAUGACUUCUGCAAUGUGAACGUUUGUCUUCCCAAUCUUUUGCGCAUAAACAAUAAUAGGGCACCCAACAUCGUCUCUAAGGAUAAAACCAGCAGUAGCAUCAGAUGUUUGUUGUAACAUCGAACCGUCAAAAUUAAUCUUUAUUCUGCCAUGAGUAGGAGGAUUUCAUUUGAUAUUGGAGCCUACGUACUUGUGUUGUUGAGGCUGAUACUACUACGAUCUCUAGGAAUGCAAUUGUAAGUGGCUGCACAAGCAACAACUGCAUGCGGAGAGAAACCCUUGUUCCUGAAAACAAGAUCAUUACGCUUUUGCCAUAUCUGCCAGCAUAAGGUAAGAAUUUUUCCAAAGUUAUUCGCAUUGAACGGACUAUCUGCCAGCAUAGGAUUUUUUCCUAUCGAAAAAAUGGUAAUUAAGGGUUUCUCAAUUGAUAUUAUUGCUCAUUCAUCAUAUGAGUAAUCAAAGGCCAAAAUGACACUACAAAAUCUCUAGAGAUGGGAAAAUCAUACUAUUACACUUAAGACUCAUAUCAAAGAUUGCUUACGCUAAGCACAUAAUUGAGACUAUAAAAUUGCGAACAACAAAAAAAUAUCUGAAAACAUAUGAAAAUAACUAAAUAACUUAGUUACAUAGUAGAUCUAUGGAAAGUGGAAACCCACCAAGGAAGAGCCUAAACCCACAACUCAACAGACACAAGCAAGAAAAUCGGCCCAGCCACGUCCCUCUGCGCUCACCUUCGUCCCACAACAACCUCUGUUACCGUUCCUAAAACCCGAUCAGUCACCGCCAGCAACUAGAACACCUUUGCACUUGGAAGAUGAAGAGCGAGCCUUUCACCGGCCUGUAGUACUGAACAUCCAACACUUUGGGAGUUCACGAUGAAGUCCACAAUCAAACCAUUCCAUCAAAAUUGAGCACGCACAACAAACCUCCCACAUAGUUUCCACCAAGAAAUAGCACCAAAACGUAACACAUAUUCGGCAACAUACAUCACGUCAACAAUGCUAGAGACCAGACCAGUUGUGAAGGCGCUACCGGAACGGCGAGGAAAUUGAUAAAAACCUACCUCGGCUUUUGGAGAACUCAAGGUGCAGAGCGACUAGAAAAAACUAAGAUAUGUGUAACAAAAUUUUAUAUCAAAUUAACAGUACUUAAUUAGUAUAAUAUAUUGGUGAGACGUGGUCUGUUGGUUAGCUAGCUUAACUGACACCCCAAAAGUCAUUUUCAAUCUCUCUAAAACAUGUAAAGGUGGGUUGGGCUUAAGGAUUCUAAUAAAAAAAUAUUUAAUAAUUUCUACUAAGCUUUUUAUGAACCUAUUUGGUAUAGUUUUGCUUUAAAAAAAAAAAUUGUUUUUAUCUGCAUUUUUAGAUUUUAUAAUGUUUGGUAAAUUAAAAAAAACCAUUUUUUUUUAUUACAGGUCACUAGCUAGGUGCAGAAUGUAGAAGCAACCUCAACGUUUCUUUUGAAAGUUGUUGGCAUUAACACAAAAAAAUAAUAUUUUAUGUCAUAAUAGCACUUUCAAAAGUAAUAUUUAUCAAGUAAUAAUUUUAACAACAAAAAGGUAUAUACCAUUUUUUUCUAACACCUAAAAAGCGUUUCUCUCUCUAGGUUUUCUCGACCUAGGGUUCAGAGUUCUCGGUGGGCAAAGGGAGAGGCGGCGGCAGUCUGAUUCUCGACGUUGACCCUAGGAGUGCAGGUACGAGCGGUUGGUGACGCGUUGUCAAAGCCGAUCGUUCUCUGUCCACGUGGUUCUAAGCGAAGGACGUCAGAGAUCUUGCUCCGGUGGGUCGACAUCUGCUUUGCUAUUUUGGAUUUUCAAAUGUUCAGGUACGACGAUUGGUAAUUUGAUUCCGGAUCAUGACAAGGUUUGAUUAACGACGUCUUGUCAUUGAUUCACUCCAGGGGGAGACAAGUUUUGGUUGCUGGCGGUCUGGGUUGCUAAGGUCGGCAGCUGCUUGGGGUAGGGACUCUCUUGGCGGCGGGAUUCUUGGCUUGUCUGCCUCCGAAUGAACCAAUGACAGCGGCGAGCCAUGAUGCUUCGUGAAAUCGGGCUCUAUGACUGGGCCUGAGUUCAGUUAUUGGGCUUGGUUUUCUUUUUAAUUAUUUUUUGUGAUAUGUCCUAAUGAGUGUUGUCUACUCUAUGAAUCUUUUGUUGACAGCUAGAUCCAUUUGUACCAUAAUUGCGUGCUAGGCAGAGGUAAGAGACUAAAUGCAUAAGGAGCGAGUUGUAAGUACUUAGUUGGGCUUACUAUAUAAUUGAGCGUAUCCGUGAUUUUAUUAGUCUGUUAUUACAUAGGUUAGGUCGAUUUUUCUGUUUCUUGCUUAUGUACGACAUCUAGAUUAUAACUGAUUUGGCUAUCGAUAUAUUUUUAUCAACAAAUCUUGAUUAAAAAAAAGUAAUAUUUACCCAUUUAAUAAAAAAAAUGUACCAAACAUAAAAUUGUCUUUAUUCACAGCUGAUUAUUAUCAUAUUACAAGAGCACUAGUUUUUUUAAAAGUCGCAGCAGUCUCAAGCUUGCCCUAUGACUGGUCUUGACUAUGUCCAAUUGUCCAUAUGAGAGAGAGAGGUGCGUGUGGAACCAAAUUAGUUUCUCAACACAUGGUUCAUGAUUGGAAAAAAGAAAAAAAAAAGAAAAAAAAAGUAGACGAACAAACUUCUAUGAUUAUCAUUUGUGCUGUUAAUGAAAUUUUCAUCUCGAAUAAUAAAACGUGUUGUUGCUUCAAAUUGAUGCCGCACAGAGUCAUCAAAAUUUAAUUUGAGUCUUUAGGUAAGGCUUGUUGAUCUAGUGAGAAAUAGUUCUUGAAGAAUUUGAGUACUCCCAGCAAUUCUCUACACUUUGAUGAGGAUGGGACCGGAAUUAUUUAAUGAUCCAUUGAUUUUCAGACCCUCCAAAUCUGCCAACAAAGUAAGAGAAUCGAACUUUUCCGGUAGCAAUCGUCAAAUCUUGUUCAAUAAUCUGUCAAGCAGUGAAAGUGGAUAGCCAAUCUACAAGUGAUUCAUUGGCAUUGAUUGGUGUUGGGGAAGAAUACACACAGCUCCAGACAGCAUCAGUGAUUGCUUUUGCUACUGCUGUAACAGUUCUAUGAAUUACCUUUUUCUUUUGCAUUGUUUAAUCAGAUCAUACUGUGAUCCCGUUGAUGUAAAACUCCAAGUUAAUUCGCCAAACUCAACUUGCAUCCCUGACCCGAUCACCCUGCUGCUCCCUGGACCCGUAAGUGUCACCAGAAAUGUCUCUUCACCAUUCACCAAAAAAAAAAAAAAAAAAAUAACUCUUCACCCCUAAGCCACCCUUCCCCCCUUAGAUUGAACAACCACACACCAUUUCACUUUUUUCUUUUUUUUGUAUGUACUUCUCAUACCAAAAUACCUUCUCUUUCUGACGCCCGGCCUCUUCCCAUAGAAACCUGCUGAUUAGUUCUUGCAACAAGAAAUCAUAGCUAUGCAGAUAUAUUUUCCAUGAAUUUGGGAUGUAAAGUUGAAAUUAGGAAUAGACAAACUCCUAUUGUUGAUAUUUGUAACAAUGUGAAACAUACAAGUCAUUACAGGGGAAAAAGGAGUGGCUCUGUGUUAUACUCCAAAGAUCAUGACUUGAAGCAUGUAAACACCCUACAACGACAUUCAUCUAAACUAUCAGGACCAUGAGUUCACCCCAGAGACCAAACAUGUAUCAAGGUACGAUAAAUUUAACAUCUAUUGCUAGACAUUAAGCUCCACCUCCCCCCAAAGAAAAAAAACACAAGAUGAAAUUUACAUCUUCAGGAAAAUAUAUUGGCAAAGCUGUCGCUGAUACAUUUCAGACAAUUGCCCAAAACUUCUUCCUACAAAUUAAUACGGUUUCACUGUUCUUCUUUAUGUUGUCCAGCACAUGUGAUUCAACCUCCCACAAAAAUUUUGGAGCAAGAUCCUUGAUCGUUGAUGUAAUAGCAUCCUCAUCUCUAAUGAUAAUAAAUCCCUGUACAUCAACACAAUACCAUUGUGAACUAUAUACAGUACAACUUGGGACAGAAACAAGUUGCACGCGAUAUAUUUUGGCAGGCCAAUAACUAAAAGGAGUCUUAAAUAAAGUAAUCCACCAUUUGCUACAGCACCAAAUGCUAAACAAUAAUUGUCGAGAAAAAAAAAUGCUAAACAAUUUUAAUGGAAGAAAGACAUUAGCAUGAAACUGUUGUGUGAAAACAGCAGUUUCAUUCAACUAUAAAGAAAAUUUGAAUAUGAAUAAACACAUUUGAAUGUAAGGUUUCAAGAAGUAGCUAAACUAAAACAGCAUCUAUGCGACACAGAAUGGCCAGUAUGAUAUUUGAUAGACUCAAAUGGUGUGUCGUAAAGUUAUUUAUGUUGACAUUUGUUUAUCUUUUGGUUUUCCAUGAUAUGGAAUAUUAAUGUAUGAAUAGCAUCCUAGAAUCAUUUCACUAAGGUUCUGCGGCUUAUGUUGAAUGGACUUGCUGAAUGGAAAACAGUUAUUCUUGACUCUUGGUUAUCACUCAUACGUUUCUAUAUAUUCUCUCUAAACCGCUGAUUUUCCUUCUCUUCUAAAUCCCAAGAUUCUACAUUCUGUCAAUCCGCUUGGUGUUACACUGAAAAGGACAAUGACUAGUAUAUUCAAGAACAAAUAUUCAGAAGAAACACUUCCCUAUAUUGUGAUCCAGUAAGCAUAAUGGUAAAGAAAUAGUUGGUCAUGAGUACGUAAAACUAAAAUCAUAGUGUGACAAAUGAAAUGAAAAGACUAGAAAGAGAAAGAGACCAACACAUCCUCAUAAAAGGAGAUAAACAUAAUAAGAUGGAUAGUAGGAUUGUACAAAACCAGCCUUUCUCAAGUGCGGACGUCCGCACCAAAGUUUUGGUGCGGAUUUCCAUUUUUGCAUCACUUCCCGAUCGAAUUUCCUCAAACUUCCUUCUAGACACAUCUAGAUCAUCUUGUGUCGAUCAUCUCUGCAAAAUUUCAGCCAAUUUGGUGAUGGUUAAGGCCCUCAAAAUCGAAANNNNNNNNNNNNNNNNNNNNUCUUGUAAUUCACCUUUAUAAUAGAAUGAGAGAGUUCCUCGUGAGCCUUGUUAUUUGACAUUGUAAACGUUGGUUACCCUAGAGGUUUCUUAUGCAAUUUCUUUUUUCUUUUAUAAAAUAAAACAUGUUUUAUUUGUCGUGUCAGAAAAUUGUCGAUAAACAAAAUAUAUAUAUAUAUAUUUAUAGAUAUACAGGAAUUCUCAGGUGCGGAUGUCCGCACCUAAGUUUUCGUGCUGAUUUCCAUUUUUGCACCACUUUCUGAUCGAAUUUUCUCAAACUUCCUUCUAGACAUAUCUAGAUCAUCUUGUGUAGAUCAUCUCUGCAAAAUUUCAGCCAAUUUGGUGAUUGUUAAGGCCCUCAAAAUCGAAAAACAAAUCUGAUGGACUGAAUUCUGUACGGUUCAUCAUCUCCAUUUGUUUUUCGAUUUUGAGGGCCUUAACGAUCACCAAAUUGGCUGAAAUUUUGCAGAGAUGAUCCACAAGAUGAUCUAGAUAUGUCUAGAAGGAAGUUUGAGGAAAUUCGAUCGGAAAGUGAUGCAAAAAUGGAAAUCCGCACCGAAACCUUCGGUGCGGACGUCCGCAGCCGAGAAGGCCUGUGUACAAAACUGCCAGAAUAUAAAAUCUAUGCACUGAACAUGGAGAAUAAUACCUAUUCACGUUAGGAUCUACGAAUAAUACUAACUGCUAAACAUACUGAUAACAAAAGAUCCAUGGUAGAGUACAAUUUAACAAUUACUACGCUGCACAAGAAUAAUACCAGGGUAGCCCCCCGGAUGAAUAAAUUAGGGUAGUUCAAACUGGCUCAGUUCAAUCCCUAGUAGUGUCAGGUUACUUGGAUUGAAUUACAUCAAUGUCCAAGGCAUCCUUACUUAGGGUUCUAGGUUUUCUAGGUCUCUAGGCAGGGUAGCACCCUUUAUGGGUGAGUUACUGUGUAUUGUAUGCCUCUCUCUACUUACUUAAUGGAUUGACACCCUUUUGUUAAAAAAAGGAAUAAUAUUAUGUCCAAUAACACAAAAGCAAAGAAAGUAAAUUAAAAAAGAUAAUUGGCUGAUGAGAAGUACGUUCAACUUAUAGUCAAUGGGACUAAAGCAAGGAAAAGGUUGGUAAACUAUUGAUGCAACUUGGAAUGAAAAGUAUGCAGAAGGUAAUUAAUUUCCCAACCUCAGCAUGACUAGAGAGAAUGUUUUCCCUACUCUUGUAAGAUAUAACAUAAAUUUAUGUCUUUGAUACUCGAACACGAACAGUUAACACUAAUAAAAAAUGUUACCUGCGGUCUUAUCAUCCUGUCCAUUUCCAACAGGAUAUCCUCCAACAAGCAGCCUUCUCCACAUUCCUUAUAAUGAGAGAAGAGGAAGUUGGCAUGCAAUAGAUCAUAUGUGCGUGGAUAAGUAGAAAAUGGUUCACACCUGAAAUUAGAUAGGGAUGAGAUGUCACAUACUAAAUUUGGGGAUUCUCUCUGUAUUUAUUUUCUUUUAUUCAUAAUUUGAACCAACAAAUUUGAUACUCAGAUUCUAGAAUCAAGACGUCACAGACAAAGAACAUACCAAUCAUGGAAAGCACCAAUCAGACCACGGUCAUAAAUGGCAGACAAUGUAUUCUUCAUGGUUGCAGGAACUAUAUUCAUCACCCACAUCGGUGAUGAAUCUAAGGCCACAGCAAAUCCACCACAAAAAGCAUUCAUGUCCAUGACAUUUCGUAUUUCUGUCUUGUUCACAUUCAGCAGCCACCAGUAAUGCUGAACUUGAUCUUGCCAAAAGACAGUCUCCGAAGUAAAUUCCUCUUGACUAAUACCUAUUAUGAACACAAUAAUGAGGAACUUGUUCAGACUGAAAAAUAUUUAUUUUUCAAGUUCAUAAACAAACAAAGAAAGUAAAGCGCUCUCCAGUAUUCCAAGUUCUCCAGCCCUUAUAUUAACAUCAUGAAAUAAAGCUGCUCAAAAUUUGGUUUAAUUUUGGACAAGAGGUUUCCACAGCAGGAUCAAGUGAAUAGAACUUGCAGGCUACAUAGUAUAACUCUAUAAUUUUACUCUGCAAGCUCAACCUUUUUCUCUAGAUCCCUCCAUAACCUUUUUCUCUAGAUCCCUCCAUAACCUUCAAUGUGUUGGAAGCUCAACAUUUUCAGAAAAGAAACUUGACAGAAUAAAGGAAAUAAAGUAAAUUUAUCCAUAGUCAAGUACUAUUUGUCUAGAGAUCAAGAAUCUAAGUACAACAAAAUAUAGCUAAGUAGAAGAAAAUUUUAGGUACUUAUAUGGAUAUAAGAUUGACCUGGGCCUGGAGAUAACUCUUAAUGUGUGUACUAACCUCAUAUAACGAGGGAAUAUGCAUCAUCAAAACCAAAACUUGUCAUUCUUAACUUUAAUUUGGUGUUAUAUGCAUGAAGUUGCCUCAUGUCAACUUGGGAAGUACUAAAGACAAUAGAUAGGAAAAGUAAAUAAAAGAGAAUCGAAAAGGAGAAGCAGCGAACCAAUUUUUUUAAGACUCUCCGAGUAUAUUGAUAGACGAUCUGGUUUAGAAGGGAGUUUUGGAGCAUUUGUUUGCAUGCCCCUUACUUGUAUACAAUUUCCCAGUUUUGUAUUCCAGAAUGACUUAGAAUCAUCAGCAGCAUCACAUAUAUCUAUAAGCUUCUGUUCAGAAAUGCGCUGAAGGCAUGCUGGAUCUUCUUGUUUCAUCCAAAUAGCAGUCUGAACUCUUUUAGCAAUGAGUUUCCAACACAUUGCCGAAGUCAGAUUCACUAACUUCUCCCAAAUUAUUGGAAAGUCUUUAUCCUUUCUAUAAGCAGGUGGUGCUGAAUAGACGAAGUACCCAUUAGAACGCAGAAGGCGAUCCACUUCUUUUAGAAGAAUACCAUCUGCACAAAAAAGAUAUAAGGAAAGGAAAACACAGCAUAAGACCACUCAUUACAAAUAUAGUAAAUUAGUGAUGAGACUGAACACACUGCAAGAUCUAUGAACAGUAAUGUUAAAGGUAUUCUCACCAAAUCUAAUAUUGCUUAGUUAUACCUCAUAUCCCAGCACAAAAAUUAUCAUCAUUUAUUCUUUUUAUAGCAUGCCAAGCAAAUAAGUCCAGAUAUAUUGCUACAACUAACAUGAACAAUGCUAGUUCCAUUUGUCAAACUUGAACAUAAGAAUUCGGUAUGGAAAUCUUUAGAUACUGUUCAUAUGAUCUUUCAUUCUUUUGUUAUCAACACAUAUCAUCUCGUGGAGAAGUUGAAGUCUUAGCGUAUUUUUACAUUUAGACUUCUUUUUCCUUUUCAAAUAUAUUUGUGUAUGGAUACCAUGUAGAUCACCAAUAGUCCAAUACAUAUGAAGUAUAUAAAAGACAGUUACCAUUUUCAUGCCAAUCAACACGACACCUAGAACAAUGAACCAUCUCAAACGAGCUACUGGGAUAUGGCAACUGCUUUGUUGCUAUUGCCGAGAUCAUUGCACCAAUGCCACGCUCUAGAGAAAACUGAAUUUGAUUCUCAUGUCCAUCCUUGGGAGCAAAGGACAUGGUCUGUACACCCAAGGGAAGAAGGAAAGCAGAAAAGCUGGAAACCCCACAACCAACAUCCAAAACUUGAACAACCCCUGCAGUACGCAGAUCACCUGAAUCAUUGGUUAUCAUAUUUCCCAAUCUGCAAACGCCAGAACAAUCUAUUAAAGUAACUGAAAUCAAGAUCCAGACAUUGAAAUUGAAAUUGAAUUUCAUCUUAAUUAGUCUAUCAGUGGAGAUUAUAUGACCAAUCAUGUAUCACAUUUAUUAUUCUCCCUCCCAAAACUUGCAUUAUAUUAGGAACCCUUUUCACAAUAUGAUGAAUCAGAUCUUCAAUUAAUGCUGCCCCCAAUUUGUAUAGGGUGAUUGUCAACUUAGGUCCUGAAUUGGAAUCAACAUAACCACAUGACAGGUUAUAUAACUAAAAUGUCAUAUGCACUAAAACCAACAGGUCAAGUUUGUAAACAAAUUGAAUGCAGAUACCUCUGAAUGUAUUCAGGUGCACCAUGUUUAAAAUGGGUACCACCACCGGGGAACCACCAGAGUUGAUCCUUCUCAUGAACCCAAUUCUGUCCUCCUUUGACUUCAGCAAGAUGAGUAUGGUUCACAUUGCUUCGCCACACAUAGUCCCUGCUGAUUGGCCAUCUUAUAGGAAUCUUAUAAUCUCUGGGUGGAGGAACCAAGCAAAACAAGCGCUGUUGAACUGGAGGGCAGUGUCUCUCUAGUUCUUCUCUUCUACUAGUGUCCAAACUGGGGAGCAAAGUUUGUAUGUAUGAUACAUUAUGGCAAGGGAUAUAUUCAUUGAAACUCGAGGGACAAACAUCCACACCAGUCUCUGGUAUCACGAGUGGUGUUCUUCUAUAUGUUAAUUCGACUUUGUUCGCAAACGAGGAAGUACCUGCAGCACCAGAAUGAGAGCCCAAUAAAACUCAGAUUUCUUCAACAAGCCUUAUAUUGAAUCUUGGAGCUUACCAGGAAAUGAGAAAUUGUUGCUGAGCUGCGAGAAGUAAUUGGGAGCAUUUUGGCGAAAGAGAGUUCCAGCAUAGAAGGACCCAAGCAUUAAUAGGAGAGCUAAGGUUAUCAUCUGCCAUGACUCUAAUUUAAAAGCUGAACCUCCUCCCAUUUCCUCAAUUACCCAAUUGGGUUGAUUUACGGAGGAAUCGAAAUGUGCUUUUGGGGAGUGUGAUCUGAGGGUUCUAGGAUGAACAAGGAUUUGAUUCAGAUCGACAUUGUCGCCGAAUCCAGUGCUGAGCUCUGGUUCAGUUUUACUUCACACGAUAUGUGCACGUGCCCCCUCCGAUGACGUUUCUAGAGCAGUUGUAUAGUUAAUUUAUAAUUUAACUAUCUCUACUACUAUAAAGGAGGGAAGCCCUUCAAAGUUUCACCAAAUUAUGUUCUUCUUAAAUUAUCUUUAUUGUGUUUAAUUAAAACAAUUAAGUAAACUAAACAUUGUAGUAAAAAGUAAAAAAAUAAAAUAUCAAAAAUAGAGUAGAUAAUUGUGAAAAUUAGGAAGUUAAAAGUUUUAACUGCAAACAAGAAACUCCCCUGCAACAUUAAACUCCCCACUAACUUCACAAAAAGAAAAAACAGCUACAAAUGAGAAAAAUAACUACCUACUAACUAUAACUUCUAUACGCGAGUUUCGCGUGUAUAAAGGCUAGUAGUUAGAAAAUUUAGCUAUUUAUAUAACAAUUUAGCUAUAGUAAUAGUUAUUUAUCAAUUCUGCUUAAUAUUUUUUUGGAAUUAGCAAUCUUUUAGGCAUAUUAUUAGAGCUCUGUUGUAGAGAGAAUAGAUAAUCAUCAUCUUAUUCAUAUGAUAUGAGUCUUUUAUAUAGGGAUUACAUAACACAUUUAGGCGUUGUACAAGGAAACAUAACUUUGAUAUCUUAUUUCUAUACGGAAUCAGGAUUCCUUGUUUAACUAACAUUAGAACAAGGCACACACAUGUGCAAUAUUUCUACAACACUCCUCCUUGUGCCGCGUGUCUACAUGUCGAAUGGUGCAUACGGUGUUGCCUCGUUAAAACUUACCAAGUAACAAAAACCAUGUGGGAAAAACUAAAUCUUGGUCAAAGGAUGAAAGAGUAUAACGCAUCAACUACUUCAUUGAGAACUCGAUCAUGUGAUGCUCCCCCUGAUAAGUAUCUUAAUCGAAGAGACUUGAUAAACGUCGCAUUCCAAUGUUUUUCACAUGUUUCUCAAAAGUAUGUCAUGUGUAAUGAUUAACCUUAACCAAACAUGUUCAUGAAUAACUUCAUGUUGAUCAAUGAUCUAUGCAAGAGACAAGCGGUGUAUGUGAUGUUGCCUCAUUAAAAACCUUGUCAAACAAAAACCCAGUAGGACAAAAGUUUUGGUCUAAAGGAAAAAGAGCACAACAGGGUUGAUACGACACAACCGUACCCCACAUUUGAUAAUGACAUGUAUGUGCUAGACUCCCCCUGAAGUCUGCAUCUCUCUCUUAUUCUUAUAUCAAUCAUAAGGCGCAUCCUGAUUCUUAUCACGGAAGUAUCAAUAACUUAGCAUAUCAAUGCUCUUUAACAUGUCUUAAUGUGGAAUUAGAUAAUGAUUAACUAAAUCAUGUCGUAUGGACCUCAAUUCUGAUCUUUCACACAUUGAUCUUGAGGAGAAAGCUGCUUGAGAACUUAAAACACAAGUUCGUGCAGAAAAUCAGAUUCUCGAGCAGCAUGACCUUCGGGGACUAAAACAGCCAUAACUUCCUAUAGAAAAUAGAUAUCGACGAACCGUAAGAAGAUAUGGAAAGUAGAUUCACGUAGCGUUCCAACCAUAGGUAAUACACAGUUUCGUUCAUCCGGAGCUAUUCACAAAGCUCUGUCGAUUUUGGCUGAUCAAAAAAGGGCAGAUUUUCUGAUUCCGCUUUUGAUGCAUCUUUACUCAUGCAUAGUUAGUGAUGGCGUAGAUAGCGUGCAUUCUAUCAUGCCAUAUUCUAUGUAGGGAUUGAAUAAGCCCAAAUACAUUUAUGUAUUGAAAGGAUGUCCUUAUGCCAUUCCAUUGGCGUUGCGUGGGCGCAGAGUUACACUUAGCUUUACAACUUUUCAUAACGAAUGAGAGGUCAAGUCUUUCUUUGUCAUCUUCCAUUAGACGAAAACAUAUCUCUCUUUAGAGUAAAGACUUUGACUAAUCAUAGGAGUAUAUGUAGACCUCACUCUCAUUAGAGUAUCUAAACCGAUUGAUGGAAAAACAUCAUCAAUACCGUCCUCGAGUACCUUUUCGAGACCAUGUCUUCCCAAGAUCUUUUCAUUCUUAACUUCGGAUGUUUGAUUCAUAUUGGCAUCUCUUGUCCAUCAAGAGUCCAUGUAAAUCCGAAAAAAUCAACACGCAAGGGCACUAUUCAUCAUAUCCCUUCCCAAUCAAGUAGUUACUUAGUGUGUGUUCCAACCUCUCUUGCAAACGCACGCUCCUGUGGUCUGGAGCCACUUGAUUUGGGUGGAUGAAGUCUCUUCAAGACCUUCAUGUAUAUCUCUUAUCCCAUAGAGAUGUGUUUACAACCACAUUCAUAAGCUGCAUGUCCAGUUAUUCGGAAAAUACCAAACUGACAAAGUAGUGGAGUGCAAUGACAUCCAUUACGAGAGCAUAUCUCAUCGUAGUCAAUCCCAGUGCGUGUUAGUGAGAUACCUUGCGUCAUGAGGUGAGUCUAAGCUCUUGUUCUCAUUACGCUAUCUAAUGAAGACAUAUUUCACAUGGUUUAUACUUACGGUGUCAGCAUCACCCCCAAGGACCUAUCUCUUUGUUAUGCUAGAUUGCAUAUUUUCGUUAGGCCAAUCUACUACGUCGAUUUAUUAAUGAAGUGUGGUUCGAUCAAGGAGGAAAAUUUUGAUGGUUACGGAAAUUUCGACGGAAAUUUUGGGGAAAUAUCGAUUGCAGUUAAAAAAUGAGAAACUUGAUGGAAAUCUAAAGAAAAACAAGGAAAUUUUAAAUGAAACCUUGAGAGAUGUUUAUUUUCUAUAUUAUCUACUAUAUUUGAAAAGAUAACCUUGAAUAAACAUUAAUCUAUAGGGAAUUGUAGUAAUUUAAGGGGAAAAAGUAAUCACUGAAUCGUUGAUAAUUCUUAAAAAUUUACUUUAAACAUUUUUUUAUGGCUGGAAACCCAAACGAAGGCUAGGUCAUCACGCCAUACAUUUCACAUGGAAUUACAUAAGUAAUUUAAAAUCACAUAAAAGACCUAUGAGGUAUAAAAUUUUCACUAUCGUCAUCGUCUCUCUGUAUAUAUCCUUUAGUGUAUUGUGAAGAAUAAUCAUUAAAUGAUACCUCACGAAGAGAAUAAUGAAAAAUGGAAGUAGCAGAUCAUGAAAUGGAUUAGAAAGGAUUAAAUUGAUGUAGGAAUUUUUUUUGAAAUGUAAUUAUGGAAAAUUUGACUUGUUGAUAAUUAUAAAUAGGAAUUAAGAAGUGUAGGUGAAAAAUACUUAUAAGUUAAUUGUAAACUAGAUAUUUACAUAAUUUUAUAUAUUUCAGAUUCGUAAAAAAGGAAAUAUAUAUCAUCAAGAUGCAAUAAUGAAUAACUUGGAUGCUUAGCAAAGUUGGUUAUGGCAUUGAAAUUGUAUCAACCCAACCAGGGUUCGAGACAUCUUAGGAGCAAAAUUUGGUUUUGGUUUGAAUUUUAGUUUGGAGACAAGGGGACAAAGGGACAAGUUGGCCACGUGGGGUGCAGAGAAUGGAGACAAGGGGACAAGUUAAACAAUACAAAUUAGCCACGUGGGGUGCGGCCCAUGAGUUAGUGGCACUUUCCGGAAUAUUUCAAAAAUAUCGGUGAGAAAUUGAAUAUUUUGUCGAAAUAUUGACAUUUUCGAAUGAGAAUGCUUUGAAAGGCGAAAUAUCGCUGAAAAAAUCGAUUUUUUCUUCUUUGGGUUCAAUAGUAAACUCAUUAUUCCCCGUCCUCAUGUCACUAGUGUAAUACUAUUAGAUAUCUUAAUAUGGAUUGGAUUUGACAUUGAAGUGUCCCCUAAUGAUAAUCAUAAUUCAAACUACAUGAAACAAAUUUGAGUAUCACCGUUCUACGUAUUUGAGGAGAGGAAGGAUUUGAAAUACAAUAGAUAAGGUGUUUUUUAUUAAUUCAGACAUCACAUUCUUUUUGUGUUUUUUUUUUUCAUUUCUUUAUCCAAUCAUGUAUUUUUCUCCCAUUACUUACCCUCUCUCUCCUCAUUCUAUUUUAGAUGGAGUACUAGUUCAAAUAGUUUAAUAUUUAUAUUUGGCAAUCGAUUAGAAUCUGUAAUACCCCGAUAAUUUUUAAAGUAAAUGAAUAUAUAUAUAUAUAUAUAUAUUAUUGAUGUUGAGAUGUGAGUCGAAAUUAAAAUACCGUGGUAAUACGAAUUAGAUGUUUUGAAAUAUGUUUUUGAUACUUUUUUAUGUGCCUCAGAAUAUGUGUAUAAUGAGUAGUAUAUGCACAUAUACCCUCUCAAUUAUAGUAAAGUGAAUAAGUAAGAAUAUAAUAUUAUUUGAGAUAUAGUGAAGAUGGUGGUUUGAUAUUGUUUAGUAAAUUUCAAGGCUUAUGGAAAAUGAUAGCAUGAUUUUAUUUGAGAUUUAGUGGAGUUAUAGAGAAUUAAGGAGUUGGAGAAGGAUGGUCGUAGGACUAUUCUGUGUUGUUUGGAAUGAAGAACGGUAGUAUUUUUCUAUUUAUUUUAGUUACCAUAGUUGUAAUUGAGUUGAUUGGAGAGCUUGAAUACCAGAAAAUGGAAUCUCUUAGCAUAGUUUUGGCUCUUUGAAAUAUUGGGGUUAAUUAUAGAUUUUGAACUUAAUCUGAAGUUCAUUGUUGACAGUGUAGUUGAUGAGUUAUUUGGACUCAUUCAUGUUUUCAAUUUUGUAUUGAAAUUUAUAUAGGUCAAUAGAUUAAGGUUAUUAUGUUUGAAAUAGGCUUGGUUAUUUUCAAAUUGUGUUUGAAGAGCGAUAGAUUUGAAAAUGUCAGCAAGAAUCAAGUUAAGAAAAAUAUAGGGUAUAGUUUAUUCAUUUUUGGGUUAGGGUGUUACAUAUUUCGUUUAUUUCGAAUUAGACUUUCUUUUUCUUUCUUCAUUGUCAUUACAAUUAAUUUUAGAUGUCAUUUAGGUUUUUUGUGCUUUUUUCUGGUUGUUUGGGUUUUUAUUUUUUUCGUUUUGUAGUUAUUUUUGGCUAGUGAAUAAUAGGAUUGGAUUCAACAAUUGUUGGUACUUGGUUUGUCUGCUUUGCAAAUCAUUGUGCCUGACAUUUAUAAUAUAGUGUAAUCAUUCUCUAGCUUGACAAAGUGACAUUGUAUUUCAAUAAAUGGAGUCUGACUUCGUUUCCCUCAACAGAAAAAAAAAAAAGUUUUAGAUGUUGCUAGAUAUAUUAAGAAUUUUGAUGGGUUAAAAUACCCUUGUAAGAAUUCCUUCUCCUUUAAUUUGGGUAUGCGCAUGUCACCAAGAGUACACUCACUAUCUAUGUACUCUAAAUUUUUGUAGAGUAUUAAAGUUUUAAAUGCAUAUUUUUUCUUUAAGGGAAAUGCACAUUUUUUUAAGGGAAUAUUUAAAUAUUGAAUCAUUCAUAUAACGAUUUAGAUUAUGAUUGUUGUUGACAACACUAUUAGAGCAUCUCUAACAGCUCAUGUAAAACUAGAAUUAUUUAUAUUAUAUUGCUUAUGCAUCUAACGCUCUUUCCUGCCUAAAACUAGAGGUGGAUUUGGUACAGUUAUCGGCUUUUUUUUACUAGUACCGUGUACAAACCAACUUAUGAUUGGUAGACAAAAUUUGCUACCAAUACCAGCCGCCGAAGUCGGUAUACCGACUUCUCGGUACUGGCUAGUACUGGUUGGUAACGGGCCUCUAUCAAUAUAUUAAUCUGGGCCAAAAUAGUUCAAGGCCCAAUCCAAUUACAUAACCCUUCACCCUCUCAGACUCGGACCCUCCACGGCUUCCACCACCAAUUCCUCGUUGAACUUCCCACUAACCAAUUCCACCACUAAGGAAUUAGCAUCUAAAAGACAAAAACACAUGCAAAAUUCAAUAUACUAAACAAAAUCAUAUCAAAUAUCAAAACAAAGUGUAAACAGAACAAUAUGUAAUUCCACUAUGCUCAUGUGUUCACCUGUUACAGAAGUAACCUAGAUAAACCAUCACUUUUUGUCACACUGCAAAUAAAUUCACUAUCUUUUCACUGUUCCUUACAUCCUAAUUCCCAACAACCAGAUAAUUAGACUUUUUCCAUAAUUGUAUUCCUUUGAACUAAUCAACUCGACUCUAGGCUCACACGAAAUUCAAUCAGCUCAAUUAAGAUCUAAAGAGCGAGAGGUGUUUAGUACCCAUGACAGAAAUCUUGAGCAUUUUCAUGGACAUGAUUAGGGCUGGGCACGAGCCCAGACCGGCAGACUAUUUACUAGGACCGGGACCAGAUUGAGCGUACCAGAACCGGGCCGAGAUUUGUUGUUAUCAGAUGAGGGACCAACCAAAACCAGAACCGUCACAAGCCGGGCCUACAGUGUGACUGAAAAUCUGCUGCAUAAGUGCAUAAACUGCUACAUAAUCUGAACAAAAGCUUACAUACAUCCUUAUUAAAGUACAACACAAAACAAAACCUGCUACAUAAGUGCAUAAACUGUAAUCUUAUCUCUCACAAUUGCAAAAAAUCAACUUGUAAAUGAAAGGUAAAAUGAAAUUAUGCAAGGCAGUUGUGAGUUGUUAGAACUCAUAAGUCAUAACUGAAAACUCAUAACAACUUAACAAGUUUAUAUAGCAUAAAUGCAAAUGCCUUAAUGCCUUACAGUCCAAAAAUCCAAAUUCUAAAAUGCCAACAAAGCAGCUCCAUCUCCAUGACUGAACAGCAAGUAAUGAUGCAGCUCCAUGACUUCAAGUCUUCAACUUUUCAAUGAUAUGGGUUGUUGUGCACUUCACUUUUUACCUAUAAGACAAAAUGGGAAUAUUAGUGUAUAACACAUUAACAAUGUAACAUUAAUAACAUUGAAAACCUGGACAACUUCAAACCAUGACUUCAUGAACCAUGAAGCAUUAAAAAUUUAAAAUUAUACCUUUCGAUUUCUUCGAUGCAAGAACCAUCUGUUUAAGUUUUGCAGGCUGGGACUUGGCUUGGACAUCAGCAGCAGCUGGAACAUUUUUUUUUUAUAAUGUUGCAAUUGGAGUAGAAGGACCUGCUGUGUCACUUUUUUAGCAACUUUUGCUGCUUUCUUCAACUUGUUGGGCUGUGAGGUCCUGAGGGACCUGUUGCCGCCACAACCACAACUUCAUCUUCACUUUCUGUUUCUGAUACAGCCACAAGCUUUCCUUUUCCCUUUCCCUUUCCUUUUCCCUUUGCCUUCUUUUCCUUUGCCUUUCGCUUUGCAUCAUCUAAAACAAAGUUCGAAAGAAUGAAACAAAUCAAGUCCAAUUUAUAAUAUUAAUAAAAUUUUCAAGAAUGCAAUGAUGCAAACAUAUCUCUUUCCAUCUUUUCAUAAAAUUCAAUCUUUUCUUGGCUUGGAUAAUACUCAAUUUCGGACUGAUCUUUUUUCUUUAUCCAAUUUUGCACGCAAAUCAAUGCUUCCAUUGUUUUAGGAAUUAAAGAACUCCUAAAAGGGUCAAUCAAUCUAUGUCACGCCCCAAUUAUUGAAGGAUAAUUUUUCAAAAAUUUGAACAUGAUAUAACUCAAAAAUCUUAAUAUCCCAUACCUGGUCAAUGAUCUUCAAAGAAAACCAAAACUCAAAAGCAGAAAUGUAAUAUCAACAAACUCAUCAACCGAGUUAAACAUUAUAUCUCCUUAAUUACAUCAACUUCAAAAGUCUAGUAAUAAUAAAGUCGCUCACAUGAGCUUAAAAACAAACCGCCAUAAUAUAAUAAAAUAAAGUGCACAGAAACUAAAAUCCUGCCACUAUGCCUCCGCCUCAAGCUUGCUGAUCAUCACCUGCAGGUCUAACCCCUACACCAUGAAUUGGUGCACCGGGUUGUAAACAACAAAACCCGUAAGCUAAAAAGCCCGUAUGAACUCCCAAAAAUAACUCAACCCAACAUUACACAAGAUAAAACUUGUAAUUUCUGCUUUAAAACUUAGUUAAGGAAUCGCCUCAAAACAAUAAAAUUCAAAAGAGAAUAAAUAAUAAAACACCACAAUUCACAAACAAUCAAAAUCAUAAGUGAAAUCCUGCAAAAAUGAUAGUUCAGGAAUUCCACUAAAAAUCACACAAAUAAGAUUAAAGAAUCUCCUACAUUAAGCAUAGUUCAAGAGAUACUCAAAACAAGGAAGUUAAAUGACAACAAUUAAGAAUAAAGUUAAAAUCACAUAACCAAUACUUUACAAAAUACAUGUACCCAUGAGUCCUAGAUACCAAUAAGGUAUCUCCCAUGACCUACAACAAACACAUGUACCCAUGAGUCACAGAUAUUAAUAAAUACCUCUCAUGACCUACAACAACAAUUUAUAUACCCAUGAGUCCCAGAUACAUUCAGGUACCUCCCAUGACCUACACGGACAGAAGGACUAGAGCUCUAUUCCUAACCUUAACCAAUCACCCGGCCAAAGGCUUGGAACUCAGUUUAACUGUUCAAUAUCAAAUCACAAAAUAAUAAUAGCAUCAUAACCGUAACCCAUCACCCGAUUAAAGGCUUGAAACCCGGUUUGACUAUUUAAUAUCAAAUCAAAAAAUAGUAGAAUCAUCAUAACCGUAACCAAUCACCCGAUUAAAGGCUUGGAACCCGGUUUGACUAUCUAAACCACAAAUCACAAUAUAAUAAAAUCAUCAUCAAUCAACACAAAGAGCACAUCAUAAAAAUUAUAUCCUUCCAUAUAGAUAUAUUUAUACGAACAAACAUAGUUAUUCCCUCAAGAAUAAUCUAUCAAUAGCCAAAACAUUAUGAUCACAUGAACCUUAAAAAUAAUCAUAUAAUAAGAAAACUUGUUUUAACUUACCUAUGAGCCGUUGGCGAUCAAGCUCAUAUAUUUUAAAUAAACAAAAACAUAAUUUUUAAAAUUAUAAUCAUCAUCAAAAUCAUUAUCAUCAUCACAACCAUCAUCAUAAUCAUCAUCAUAAUCAUUAUCAUCAUCACAACCAUCAUCAUAAUCAUCAUCAUAAUUAUCAUAAAUAAUUGGUCCAAAGUGGACAUUUGUGAGAUGUUACUCACCUUUAUAUUCCCACUGCGUCUUCACCAAAAACACAAGGAACAAACUCACUCACAAUUCCACAAGCUACCUAAUUAGCACAAAAUAUAACCUUAUUAUCCACUUAAUAAGAAACAAAGUACCCUUAACCAACCCUUAACCUAAAGGUUGCCCAAAGGAGGGCAAUCCUUCCUCCGAGACCUCCCAAGGUCGUCGGACACUUAACAACCUAUCCAAGCUGCCUCCAAGUUCAACUUCCAAAGUUUACAACUUAACAAACCUCAAUGAUUAACAUAACACCUAAACUAUCAAAUCAACACUUAACCUUAUCACACAACAACACUCACAACUACAACAACUAGUUAACACAGCCACCCAAAUUCACUCACACUGCUCGGACGUGCUUCCACGCGGCGGCGAGAAGGCCCCACGCGCCACCCCAUCAACUUCAAAAUCUGAGCAAACUCCCAACAGCAAACUUGUAGGUCACAUCAAAUGAAACACUUUUCAUACCUGUGGCCAAAGCCAAUUCGGCCGAAAAGAGGCCGAAAAUGUCGCCGAAAAGAAACAAGGAGCAUUUCGAACUCCAAAGCUCCACGCUUUGAAUUAGGAUUCAAGGCUGGUAUCAUCGUGCUCAGAAGGACAAGAACUUCUAGAAAUGGGUAGCCUCAAACCUCGAUGUCGCCGGAAUCAGUUGGAGCUUUACCGUCGCCGGCACCAGUAACUUGCGGGCCUUGCUGCGCCGUGCACAGUACUCCAUAGGGUGUGAGGCUGGUAUGAAUAGAAAGAGGGGAGUGAGAGCUUUCCAACGAUACCAAACAAGCCCAAAUCCGUCACCGGAUGGCCGAGUUAUGGCCGGAAGAAAUUUGAGGGUGAAAAUGGAGACGGGAGAGAGAGAGAGAGAGAGAGAGAGAGAGAGAGAGAGAGAGCGCUAGGGACCGGGGGGGGGGGGUUUAUUAGGGUUCCAAAAAUAAAAACCCCAAACUUUUCCUAUUAUACUAAUAAUCCCGAAAACCACAAGACUUCCGCUGGCCAAAACUUCUUCCUACGAAGUCCGUUUUACGCGUGAUGCAUGUCUAAGAACUCGUAUCACCAAGCUCUACAACUUCCGUGAAGGAAGUUUCUCGAGAAACCCAACGAAUAAAAAGUCAACUCUAUGACCCUUAAAGAAACAAAAAGAACCCUUUUUGGGAAAUUUACGCGUCCGAACACUUCCGCUCUUUCUUCGAACCUUAAAAACACACUAACUUCUAACUCGAAAACUCCCAAAUAAUAUUAGAAACUAAUAUCAAAUUUCCGAGGUAUUACACUCUACCUCUAGUAUAGAAGGAGGACUCGGAUGCAACGGUGCUAACCUGGAUAGCAAGUACAUCCUUUGCCACAAGAGCAAGGUUUGGAUACUUGCAGCCAUUUGUCUUCCACCAACUUAGUAGACACCAACUAUCUGCUUCUCGUUUUGGUGGAACCUCGAUUGGAUCAAGUAGGUAUCUAUCAACUUCACUCUCAACAACAACUUCGUCGGAUUCAGCUAAAGCUUUUUGCCACCCUACAAUAAAAAGAGAAUACAUCACACAGUAAGUUUUAACAUUGAAAGUAGCAUAUAAAGUUAUAAACAUAAAUAGAAAGUAGGUACUACCUUCCAACAAGUUAGCCAUUUUCCCUGUCAUCUUCACAUUCUUGGACUUCUUCGACUUGAAAGAUGAUGAGGUUGUUGUUUUUGUGCUGCCGGAAACGACACUUGCUGCAGUGCUGCACUUAAAAGAUGCGUUGCCAUUGGUUGAUGCAUUGGAUGAUGUUCUAUAGAUGUCAGUUAAGGAUACCAAGAGCUCCUUAACAGAGUUGGCCUUGGCUUUUGCUUCCUCAGCUGAAUAUUGGAGCACUUGUAGGUAAGUAUGAGUUAUGUUCUUCAGCUUGAACCUAGAAUCCAAUAUUAAUGCAACCAACAGAAACUAAUUCAUGUCUUCAAUACAUCCAAAAUAUUUUCUAAACUUGGCAAACAUAUUUUUUGCCAUCUUCAACAUUAGCAAUUGAACUUCAGUAUUAGUUUCAGCCACAUGUGCAAACAGUGCAUUAAUCUCCCCUUCUAUUGCUACAAUGUCAUGAAAUGCUUUAUGAGCAGUGGGGUGUCUAGUCAUACUCAUCCUCAUUGUCACAUAUAAAAAACCCUCAAGAUCAACACAAAUAUUUUAGCCUUUUCCCAAUCCUCCUCUUAUGGUGGUCCAACUGUUGUUUUUCUUGUUGUUAGUGUCACCGGAACAUACUCUUGUUCUUCUUCCUCCUCGAUCUCAUCUUCUUCAUCAAAAUAGCUUUUAUAUUUGUUCAUUUCCUCCGCAGCCAUCCUUUCAAAAGCAGACUUCACAUCUAAAUCUAUGUCCAGCAUUAAAAAGGUAGAAUUCCAUCUUGUUGGAAGAUCAAGCGCCGAUAUUUUUUCUGUGUCUAUGUCCCUUAUAAUGUCUCCUUCUCCAUCCACACCUUGAACACGUCCAAUCUAUUAGAACUACUUCUAAUAGACUUGACUGCAUUCUUAAUUGCCGCACCACUUUUAUCCAUUAAGGACAAACCAGCCUUCACUAUGAUGUUUAAGAUGUGAGCCAAACACCUCACAUGAAUGUGCUUUCCUCCAAACACCGGUGGGUCUUCCAUGCAGCCAUUUUCCCUUGAAUGUACUCUAUCGCCACCUUAUUUGCACUUACAUUAUCGACCGAGAUAGUCAACACCUUCUCUAUCCUCCAACACAGCAAACAAGAUUCUAAAAUAUUUCCUAUUAUUAUGCCUUUGUGAUUGGGAAUCACACAAAAGUUGAUGAUUCUCUUGUGCAAAUUCCAACCAGCAUCUAUAAAGUGUGUCGUCAACACCAUAUAGUUAAUGUUCUGAAUUGAAGUCUAAGUAUUUGUCGUUAAGCACACCCUGUGACUACUUAACACCUUUCGAAGCUCCUCUUUCUUCUCAUCAUACAACUUCCAGAAGCACCUUACUAUUGUUCUCAUAGAUGGUGGAGUGAAUUGUGGGAUAGCCACCUUGCAGAAAUGCUUAAACCCUUCAUUCUCAACAUGGCUAAAUGGCACCUCAUCAAUCACAUGCAAUCAUCUCAUAAGCAGCUUGUACACAACGAUCAUUGGUCCACACUGUUUGAAGUCCCAUUUCAGGUUCAGCUUCACCAUCACGGACAUUACCAACUAUCACAGCUUGUCCGUUGUCUCCCUACCAGGAUACUUCUUGCAUACCUUCUGCACAUGCCUACGAAAAGUACUAGUACCAUUAAAGGAAGAAUCCGCUUUCAGGUCAGCAUCACAAUGCACGCAUAUUGCACGCUUCUCAUGCCCCGCGUACACUUUCUUCCCAUCUCGUUGAGUGAAGAGUUUUCUGUCAUACUUCCUGAAGUGCUCCCACACCAUUGACGUUAAUUUUGAAGCAACCUUAGGUCCAAUUGAGGUAGAACCUCUCCUUUUUUUCGGCACACCCCGCGAAAUCUCAGUUACUGCUGGUGCUUCUUCUAUAACCUCAAUUGGAACUUCUAGUUCUGGUUCUAGCACCUUGUUCUCUGGCAUCCUAGCCUCCGCCGCAACCAAAUCAUUCCUUAUCUGAGUCUGAGCUGGUACUUCUUCAAUGUCUUCUUCUGAGUCGUAACACCCAGUCUCACUAUCAGAACUGACUAAAUGGCAGCCGUAUUGUGAUGAAGACGUCGACAUCACACCUGCAUGAACUCAAGUACACAACCAGCCGUAUUGUCUCAUUGGCAACAACAACCAUAACAACAACAAAACAAAAUCGAAAACGAAACAACAACCAAAUGAAAUCGAGCUAUGCACUAAAACAACAACAACCAAAUUAAAACAAAAUCGAGCAGAUGAAUUGGCAAAUGAAUUGGCAUAUGAAUCGGCAUAUGAAUUGGCAAUUGAAUUGCUAAAACAAGUAACACAACCACAAAUCAAAUUGGCAGAUGAAUCAUUAACACAACCACAAUCACAUGAUUCACAUCUUUUAACUUUUUAAUCGAUUCAGUCAUUGAGAUUUGAGAGGAAGAGAGAAGAGAUAGAACUCAUAGAAGCUGAGAUGGAAGCGAAGGCUUACCGGAGGGCGGAGGCGGUGGGCGACUGAGGAAGAGAUGCGUGCUAGCGUCGUCGAUCGAGAGGAAGAGAUGGGCGCCAGUCGUCGUCGAGAGGAAGAAAUGGGCGCCAGCGACGUCGUCGAGAGGAGAGAAGGACUCGAGAGAGGCGAAGCUGUUUCCAAAGUGUUUGACAGUUUGACUUAGGGUUACUCAAAUUCAAUUAAUCAUGUGUGGUUGAACUUAUGGUAAUAGUAUAAGAUCGUUAAAAUUAUGAAUUAAAUUCAGUUUACCCGCAUGAGGUUUGGGAGUAACUUCAUGUUAAUCCCUAUACUUUCAAUUUCAUCAGUUUACCCCCUUAAACUUUUAAAUUUUCCUCAAGCGUGACCAAAUGUCCUAUAUUCUGUCCAAAUCGGACGUUAACUGCUGAUAAUUUUAACCUUAACUGUGAGGCCAGUAUCUAGAAUUUGGGCAAAUCGAACCUUAUAUGUCCAAAUUGGACCUUAACUGCUGAUAAUUAAAGGUCAAUUCAAACGGAAUAUUAGAAUUUGGGCACGGCAGACAGAAAUUGAAGAGUUCAAGGGGUAAACUGAUGAAAAUAAAAGUGUAGGGACUAACAUGAAGUCACUUCCAAACCACAAGGGGGUAAACUGAAUUUAAUUAUAAAAUUAUCCAAUUGUUGAACGACACAUAUGUAUCUCGGACUUUCGAACCAAAACACUUGUUCAAAUUUAGGGACCGGGACCGGCCCGGGUAUAUCUAGGACCGGCCCAGACCGGCAGAAAAGAAAGAAGGGCCCGUGAAAAAACCCAACCUGGCCCGGUCGGGCCAAUCGGUUCGGUUUGGUCUUUUUUCUCCGUUCGAGUUUUAUUCCCAGCCCUAGACAUGAUGACCUCGUCGGUAGGUUUGAGCAGGCAGGCUUCAUUGGUGCGAUUCUUAAGCUUGUUUAGAUUUGUUAAAUUGAGGGAGAUUUUGGUAUGGAUACACGAUAUUGCAAAUAAUUUUGGUGUGAGUAUCUUUGACUGGGAGAGAUUUGUUUGUAAUUGAAAUUGAUGAGAGGAGAUCAAGAAGAAGAAAGAAACGUGAGGAGAGAUGAAUUAAUGAAUAAUUGAAUAAGAAAGAAAUGUGAGGAGAGCAUCUGAGAAAUCUAGCUUCUGCAUAUAUAUUAACAACAAGAGCAUCUGCUCUAGUGGUCUGAAUCGAGUCUUUACAACGAAGAUAUGCUGGGUUCGAGUCCCGGCCUUUGUAAAAUGUUAGACAUUUUUCAUUUGUGGCGUACUAUAUACAUAUAUUGACUGGUAUACGUAUAUGUUGUCUAGUACGGUAUACCGAUGGUAUACAAAAUUUGAUACUAUAGUCAUGCCGAAUACACAAACUGGUAUGAUAGUACUGUACCGAAUACGUACUGAGUUUUUUAGUUACCAACUUGGUUGGUUUGGAUUGAGCCCAAAUGCCAGCCCUACCUAAAACGCAAUUGCGAUACAAGUAAGACCUAAACAAGUUAACAUAAGACUCAUAGAUACAGACAACUGGCAAGGACAUCUUAUCCCCAGACUAAACUGAAAUCAAAUAACAGUUUUAUCCAUCCUUUUUGGGUCGGAGCUAAAACUGCUUCCAAUUUCAUUGAAGUAUGCCGAAACAUUCCUCCUAGCAGCAUAUCUUCUCACUACUAUCUUCAUUUUUUUCUUAUCACCAAACGACAACUUAUUCAUGCUUUUUGGCAGGCCUACCUCUCUUCCACUUUUCUUGUGCCUCAUACAUCACAUGAUUUAACCCCAAACUUGCAGGUUCAAGAUUCAGACUACGCUUACCAAAUAAACUGAGGCGGAGCUUCACUAGGGAAAUGGUGGGAACAUCUUCCUAUUUUGUUCACAACAUUACUCGGUAAUUCUAGCCACAGCAACCGAACCCAGUUGCAAACAGCUCUCUCAACAUAGCACGUUGGCGAGGAUGUGGCACUGAAUCUUUCAACGCCACACACCCGACAAGUUACCAAGAACAGAAGAAUUAACGACUAGGUUUUGGCCUUGCACCGAAAACCUAGCCCUGAAGUUCUCAUGCACUCACACUAGGGUUAAAGAACCCUCUCAUGUAGAAUACCGGGAUUGGCAUAGGCGUCGUCGACGCUGCUGUCAUUUGUUUGCCCAAUGUUGUAAACUCUGCCACCAGUCAUCCUCCUGCAUAGCCGGACUAGAACAUGCCAACACUAGAUGCGUCACCAGCCCACGCAUUGAGAAUCUUUCAAAGAGUUUGUCAUAUGAAACUUCCAACAAAUUCAAUUCCAUCCUCCACAAGAUACCAUCAUUUGAACGGAAUAGGCUUGUGCAGCCACAUCUCCACCAUAAUUCACAGCAUCUCCAUCUUCUUGGCUAGCUUGUCAGUAUUCUUGUAAGUAAAAUAGAGUAUCCAACCAUUGUCAUCACUCAUUUCGAGUGAAAGGCUAAAGGGAUGUAUUGCAGAGUUAUCCAAAAAAAAGGACUUCUCAAACAACACCAUUUCGAUGGAAAUGAUGAUGUCAUAAUAGGCCAACGCAACCACCAGUGCCUGGUUGAAGCCCCAUAGACCUCCCAUCCAGAUCCAGUCACGAUCGUUCAUGUCUAACAAGGUGAACAUCACCAGUCUUCCUUCCUCUUCCUUAACUUGCAUCGUUUCAUCCAACUGCUAUGUAGUCAUGAGCAUAUUCAAAAACUAAGGCACCUUUAAAUCCCUCGUUCUGAGUAGCUUUCCCACAAGAAACACAUUCGCUUGGCUCACACCCUUUCCAUGCGUAGGCCGCAUGCCGCAUGUGGACUUGCUUGCGGUCCUCAGCUAGAACUAAGUAUUUGCCAAACGCGCAACCAUUGCAUCAAUCAAACACAUCUCGUGGAAGUAUUGAUAAAAAAAAAAAACCUUAACCCUAGAGAGAAGAGAGCAGCUCCGCUUUUCUUGUAAACUAGUAAUUACUUAAUUUUAACUAUCAAGAAAAACAAAUUUUAUAAAUCUUCACUAAUUUCUUUUUUAAGAGGUCAACCAUAUGAAAACACGUAGACUUCUUUUCAAAAAAAACUUUGACAUAGUCAGUUGCUUUGGUCUAACGGCAUAAUAUUCCCUUGUUAGUUUGAAGUUGUUUUGAGGAGGAGGAAAAGUUGCAUAUAACGUCAAAGUUUUGUUUAGAACCACUUUGCAUUCUCUGCAAACAUUAAACUCUGUAAAAUUGUAAGAUGUCAUAUGUUAAAUCCUAGCUAGACAUUUGGUUGUUGGGUUAUGUUAAUUAAACUUUGAAGUGGAGAAGUGUGGCAUCAUAAGUUCUCUUAACUGCACCUUGAGCAUGGAGCAUGAACCUUGAAGUACAUUUUACUGUAUUAGUUAUGUAGAUUGGCAUAUUGGUUGUGUAAACAUAAAAGUAAAAAGGGAUUGAUUUCAUAUUUAUGACCGAAUGGGUUCUGGUUCAAAUGGUAUUGAAUUUUCACAUUUCUCUUGGGGCUUGAUUUCAUAUGAUUGACCUAAUGGGUGCAGAUAACAGAGAGUUAUGCCUAGUUACUUCCCAAAGAACGAGUUUCCAACCACAAUGUCAUCAUUAAGUCAUGUUCACACUGAGAUCUCCCUAAUUUCAUCAUAUUCAAACUUCAUGGACUUGUGAAUGUCAUCAGUCCUUUGUUCAAAUAGGCAAUAGCACAAGGAAAAUUCUAGUGUGCAGCACUGCAUACCAUGCAGAUCUCACUAGAAGACAAGAUAGCUGAGGUCAUCUAACAUUUUUGCAGAAAAUCCAACCGGAAAACCCCUCUAGCCAGUUUUUACCCUUUUAGUUUUACCUUUAGUCUUUGUGUGUUCAGUAAAAAAAAAAAAAAAAAAAAAAAAAACUUUUAGACGGAGCAUGGUGGGCCUAUAAGUAUAAAUUUGUUUACUUAAGUACAAAUAUAGAUCUAUCAUCUUCACUCAAGGGUAAGCAGUUAAUUUUUUAAUAACUCAAUUGCUACAGCUACAAGAUUAGAAUUUUUAGCAGAAGCUAAAUUAUCCUAUAAAGAACUACAAGAAGAAAGAAGAAAUUUGAGAAAACUAAAAGAAAAAAGAGACAAGUUUCCAAGAAGUACCAAAAAUUAUUGGGAUAUUAUCUUUCAACUACAACGAAGGAUAUACGAGUCAAGAGAAGAAAUUGAAGUUCUUCAAGAAACUUUUGAAGAAGACCAAAAACCUCUUGAUAUUUUGAGCAUCGGUUAGAUCCGCCAUAGCUGGUAUCAGAGCCUGCUUGGCUCAAAAGCAGGUGACAAAAGGCUUAUGCCACAGAGUUGGCUUCUCUCAACCAACAAAAGAGAAUCCAAACUGAAAAACUAUCAGUCUUUUUGUACUACAAAAGGAACUGAUAAGUGGGAAGUGUGUUUUCAUUCAAGGCAUAUACAAGAAAAUCAAUAUUCCAUUGAAUAUAUUUGUAGAGUACUAAAUACUCUAUACGACGAGCAUAUUCAUCUCCAACAGGAGAUCGGAGUAGAAGAGCUUGAUCCCUCAAGACCAAGCUUAAUCGAGUUCUUAAAUCAUUUAUCUAAGAAUAAGACCUCUGAAAAGGUUAUAGAGCAACUCGAGAGAUUUAAUCUACGGAUUACUCAACUUGAGGAAAUAAACUCAAAAAUUAGCAAGCUUGAAAUCAAGCUAGAUUACCUCAAGGAAAAACAAUAUCUAGCAGAUAUUGAAAAGAAAUUAGUUCGUACUGAAAAUCUUGCAAACAAUAUUCAUCAGCAAGCAGUAGAACUAAGGAAUACUCAAUAAAACUUGAAAACGCUUUUAGAAACUCUCAUUACAAGAAUAGGAUGAAUCUGAAAGUAGAUCUAAAAGUAAAGCAAGAAGGUGUUAGAGCUAUUGGCUUUCAUCAACCUACAGAAAAACUUGCCGAGAAUGUAGAAGCAAUAAUCCUUCAGCAGAAUUAUAACAUCGCUUAUCUCCAAAAGAUAGGUACUGACCUCGAAAUUCAAUUUCGAGAGUUACAUAAUAGAAUCUCUAGUCUACAAAAGACUUUAGAGAAAAUGAAGGAAGGAGAAAAUUAUGAAAGAACUGAUGAAGAAUCACUGGCUCAAAGUGUAGCUAGUAAAAUCAUCAUAAAUUCUCCACCCCUACCAAUGGGAGAAAGUAGACUAAGGUUUAGUGAACCAAAGUUACUUGAAUGGAAAUCUACAAAACCAGCUACCAAAAGAGAUAUGAAGAUGCUAAGUAGAAUUCUUAGCAAAAGAAACAUAGCUCUAGUUCAGCUGAUAAAUGCUCAAGAAUUUGAGUAGAAUGAAAUCGAGUCUAGUGUAAGGGAAGCAUCUGCCCCUAGAUUUAGAUUUAAUGAGAUCUAUAAGAAAGGAUCUUUCCUUAUGGAUUCACACAGAUUCAAGAUUCUUGAAUUAACCGUUCCUGCCACAGGAGGAGAAACAGAUAUCAGGCUAAUAACUCCAAAAGAAGUAAGUGAAGCAUUCCAGAAAAAAUAUUCCUAUAUGCAUAUUGGUGCGGUUCAAGUAGGAAUAAAACUCUUAGCCAGAGAUGGUAUUGACUGUUCUGUUCUAUGUGUCUUACAAGACGAUAGAAUAACAGACUUCAAGAAAAGUCUGUUAGGAAUAGUAGAAGCUUCUUUGUGCAACCAAGUUACAUAUUUCAAUGUUUUUCCAAACUUCACAACGCAUCUCAAAGAUGCUACUCACUGUCUAAGACUAAGAAUCAAGACAGAUGGGAUUUCUAUGAAAAAAGGAAUGAUGGAACUAGCGAUAGAUUAUCGCAUCUAUUAUAAGUUGAUGAGCUCAAAUGUGACUCCUAAUACCAGGUUUCUGAAUAGCCCUGGGAUUACCACAUCUGUUCUCACCAACCCAAAAAAUAAUUCUCAGCAAAAACAUGUCACGAAAUGGCAUGAAGUAACAUUCCCAAGAGAACGGAAUCUGACCCCUCCGGUCAGACAGCUUGAGAGCUCCAAUGCCUCAGUCUAUGAAGACAUGGGAGGAAAAAUCAGUAUACAAUUUCAUAGGCACUCUUUUGCAAAUUAUGAAGAAGCUAGUACCUCGGAAACUAAAACGGUUUAUAACGAAGAAUCUCUGGAAGAAGAGGAUACUAAAAGACCUAUGAGGAUGUUCCAAGCAAUGGAAUUAAAAGAGUUAUAUGCACAAGCUGAGACUUGUGAUUCUCCAGAAGAACUAGAGAAGAUUAUCAAAGAAAUUUCUCAAGUUCAACUUGGAAAGAAAAAGAGGAAGAUUCUUCCUUAUCAAGCAGCAAAAGAUGAACCAGAGCCAUCAGGAGCAUCAAUGGAGACAGAGGAUGAAAGACAGACACCUCCAGGAGGUGGUCAUACUGUAAUACAGAACAUCACCAACAAUCCUACAAAGAUUAUUCGAGAAAAGAAUAUCAAGCUUCCAAAAGGACAAGCUCCUACAGGAAGAUAUGGAGAACGAAGUUCUCAGAAAUACAUCCCUACAGAACCCAAAUGGGGACAAUCAGUGUCCGAGAGAGGGGUUUAUCUGGAUUUGGACCAGGUAUGAGAUAAGAGAAAAGUCAUAGACAACUGGGUUGCUAGUUUAAAGCUAACUCAGGCCCUAGUGUUAUCCAAAUAUGCCUAGAGGAAGCUCAUGCAUACUAUGAGUCUACCUUAACUGGAAUAGUCCAGAAAUGGUAUCAGUCCUUCAAGAGAAGUUCUCAAUGGACUGAUUGGGCAGCAAAAAUGGCUCAGACUAAUAAUCCUUUAGAUUUUGCAGUCCCUAUCUACGCACAAUUUUGCGGAGAUAUCACUGGACAUAGCAAGCAAUCUAAAGAAAGAGCUAAAGCAAAUAUUCAAAAAUUGAGUAUUUGUAACAUGAGGUAUUUCGAGAAAUAUACCAAUGAGUUUCAAAACUACUACUGCACCAUCGGAGACAUUGAAAAUAAUGAUCUCAUCAGAACAUAUUACAGAAAAUUGCCAGAACCCUGGAAUGAUGCAGUAGCGCAAUCAUUGGAAGAAAACCCCCUUCAGUAUUUUAUUGUUGGAGGAAUAGCAGAAAGAGUUAGGGAUCUCCUAAGAAAACAAUGUACAGAGAAUAGAAAAUCCAAAACUGCCAAGGAACAACUCAGAGGAGUUGAAAACAUGUGUCCAAAGAUUUUGGAUACCCCGACACAAUGGGGAUGUCAUGUUUUGGAAAAGAAAUACAGAAGAAAAAUUCNNNNNNNNNNNNNNNNNNNNCAUUAUGCGAAUGAGUGUCCGAAAAAGGAUAAAAGAACUUCAAAAGUCUUAAUGGC